rnacentral:rRNA from 1 species
AUUGAACGCUGGCGGCAGGCCUAACACAUGCAAGUCGAGCGGAUGAACGGAGCUUGUUCCUGGCUUCAGCGGCGGACGGGUGAGUAAUGCCUAGGAAUCUGCCUGGUAGUUGGGGAUAACGUCCGGAAGCGGGCGCUAAUACCGCAUACGACCUGAUGGAGAAAGUGGGGGAUCUUCGGACCUCACGCUAUCAGAUGAGCCUAGGUCGGAUUAGCUAGUUGGUGGGGUAAAGGCCUACCAAGGCGACGAUCCGUAACUGGUCUGCGAGGAUGAUCAGUCACACUGGAACUGAGACACGGUCCAGACUCCUACGGGAGGCAGCAGUGGGGAAUAUUGGACAAUGGGCGAAAGCCUGAUCCAGCCAUGCCGCGUGUGUGAAGAAGGUCUUCGGAUUGUAAAGCACUUUAAGUUGGGAGGAAGGGCAGUAAGUUAAUACCUUGCUGUUUUGACGUUACCAACAGAAUAAGCACCGGCUAACUUCGUG